GAAAUCUUCCUGCCUAAGGGGAAAUCCUGAAAGGCUGGGUCUGCUUAAGGUGCCUUAGUCAUGCUCACCAAUGACAUUAUCACUGCAAAAGAGGCUUGUUUUUAUUGGCACCUGUGCUGCUGGGAUUGUGUUUCAGCAUGGGAGGAACAGGCUGUAGUGCAAGAACCCUUCAGAAGGUCCCACAUGAGUUCCUGGUAUGACAAAACUAACCUCAAGCCAUGAGGCCAAGAAGAACAAAAAUCCCACAUCCAAUAAUGCAGAUGUUGGCUUGCCUCAGCCCUGUGUUCCCCUGCCAAAGAGGGGUGAGAGGGCUCUUUCCAGCCCCUGAAUGCUCCUGGGACAUCCAUGAUCUACCCUGCAGCUGGCCUGGGUCUGCCUCUUCUUUCUGUGUGUUGCUCCUGCCCGUGGUGCUCACCUACACCAGCAUAUGGAUUUGGCAGGUGUAAACACAUCCCAGCUUUACCACCUCUGGUUUCUGGAAAUGGACAUUCAUUUUGGGAAGCAAGUGGAAGAGCAGCAUUCUGCCAGGCACAAACUGACUCAAUGGGAUGUCUGGACUGAACCAGAGGCAAGAACCUCUCCUCCCAAGCAGAGAGGAUUCCUGGGAGAAGCUCAUGCUGGAAUGCAGAAGGGAGUGGGCAAACCCAAAACACUGAGGCAUCAAACACACCAGAGGUGGCUUUUUGGUUCCCUCCUGCAGAUAGAUUAUGCAGACAUGUUCAGCAUAUGGAGCAGAGCAGAUCCAAACUCUGUUCAAUCAAAUGCAAAGUGCCUUCAUGUGCUGCUGCUUCAGAGUGUGAACUCCCAGAGAAGGCAAUGCAUUGAAGUGUAUUAUGAACUGAGAGCAUGAAAACACCCAGGUAGUCUUGGAAAAAUGGUUAAUCAGUCUGGAGCUGUUCUGCUGCCUGCUCUUUUAACAGCUGUCCAAGUGCGCAGGAAGAGUCGAACCAACACUACAACCUGGCCAGCUCUGCUCACUUGGGUCCUACAACCUAAACACAGUGCACUAAAGUUUAAG
ensembl:lncRNA